UACGAAGGGGGCUAGCGUUGCUCGGAAUCACUGGGCGUAAAGCGUACGUAGGCGGCUUUCUAAGUCAGGGGUGAAAUCCUGGAGCUCAACUCCAGAACUGCCUUUGAUACUGGAGAGCUUGAGUCCGGAAGAGGUGAGUGGAACUCCGAGUGUAGAGGUGAAAUUCGUAGAUAUUCGGAAGAACACCAGUGGCGAAGGCGGCUCACUGGUCCGGUACUGACGCUGAUGUGCGAAAGCGUGGGGAGCAAACAGG
rnacentral:rRNA from 1 species